UUGAUUACUCUUGAAAACCAUAUUGAAAAAUAUGAAGAGUUUAAAGAAGUAAUUAAUCAAAUGGUGAAGGAGGGAAAAUCAAAGUUUCCAUGGAAUCAAAAUGUACAAGACAUGUGUAAGGAAUGGGAAGACAAAUUUCCAUUGAGUCAAAGUACAAAUGAUGAUACUAACAUCAUCGAUUUGAAUGAACCACCUAAAAUAACCCCAUCAAUGGAAAAAGCUGAUGAUACUAACAUCAUCGAUUUGAAUGAACCACCUAAAAUAACUCCAUCAAUGGAAAAAGCUGAUGAAGAAGGUACAUAUUUACACUAGUUUUAUAAAAUAGUUAUCCUACAAUUAACAUAUGUAUUAUUUGACAAAUUUGAAAGUGUCUUCACCGAAGAAGCGGAGGUCGAACAAACAAUGAAAUCACGUCAUGAAGAAAGAAGUCUAAAUAAUGAUAAAAAUAAAGAUGGUGGGCUAGAAGGUGACAUUGCUAAAAACGAUCAACCAGAACAAGGGAUGCUUCGUUGGGAUUCAAUAAGUUUUCUACUUUAAAGGAUCAAUGGAAAGUAAAUCCUCUUGAAGGUGAUUCUUCUACAACAAAGAACAAAGAUGAAAACGAAAACAAGAUACAGUCAAUUCUCAACACAUUUCCAUUUCUUCAAGUACCCAUCACCCAAGAAACAACUGAAACCCACACUACCCCUGCACAAACAAAAGAAAAGAGAAUAUCUAAGCCAACUUCUGCAUAUAAAUCGCCUUAAGUUAACUGGAAAGUUGAACUUGGAACAAAGCUGAGUGAUGAUGAACAAUUGAUAGUAGAUUACAUAUUUUCUCCAACAGAUGAAUUAAAGUUUGUAUACAAGUCAGUUUAUGGGACAGAUUCAAUCAAAGUGGUUUUUGAAGCAAUGUUUGAUGGUGUAAAAAUUACAUCCGUCAUCAUUGACAAUUGGGCUGAAGUGCUAAACAAUGAAGAAAAAAUGAAAAGCCGGUAUUCUCUUAGUAGGUUUUUUUGCUCAUCGCUUCUAUUGAGAAAUGCAUUAUGUGACUACCUUGAGUUCAAGAAGAUCAGAUUCGCCAAAAAACACUAAGAAGGGCAGUCAUCAAAAGAUUGCAAAUGUCAUGGAGGACAGAAGAAAACUACAUUGACUGUGGCAUUUAUACAAUGCGCCAUAUGGAAGCUUAUUUUGGUGCAGAAAACUGGGAUUGCGACUUCUCAUCAAAUGAGAAAUCUCAUAAAGAUCAAAUUUCUGAAUUGAGGAAAAAAUUCUUGACAAAAAUUCUGUUGUCAGAAAUCAACAGCUUGAAAGGUAAUCUUAUGAAGGAUGCCCUUGAAUAUGAGAAAAUGGAUGAUAAAGUUAAGGCAGAACAUCAAAAAGAUUUGGUGGAAAAGAUGCAUCAAAGGCAAAAAGACUUUGUUUGAAUGUUUGUUUCAAUUUGCUGGUCUGAACUCAUGUUUAAUGUUUGGAUUUAACUUCUAGAA